GUUGCUAAAAAAAUAACUCCCCUGCCCGCGGCCUAAAUAUCGUAAAAAGCUGCCCGCUCGCGUAGCCAAUCAAAUUGCAGGAAAUCAGAAAAUAAAAACUAGCUGCACACAAAUAAAAAAAUAAAAUAAAACAUAUAAUAGUUUUGUUUGUGGAAACACCACGUAAAUUUAUUAAUCCUUAUUCCCUAUAUGUACUGCCUGCAAAAAUAUGUCUGCAAAAAGUGCGCGAAGAUGCUCCACGUUAUAUUAUAGCAACAAUAGCUGGAUUUCAGUCACGUUGAACGCUUAGCGCUUGGUAGUCAACUCCAAAAAAACCAGAGAGUUCACGCAUUUCCCUAUAACAUGUACAAGGCUUCGUGAAACCCACCUAUUGCUGACCAAAAACCGCUUUUCCCAUAUUGAAAAUUUUGCUUCGUAUUCGGUGAUGGUCAUUGUAAGUGGCAUCCAAAAUAUAAAUAGUUUAUGUAUUAUCAUUUACAGGUACUUUUAAACACACAAAAAUAUUAAAAUUUUUUGCAUGCUGAUCGUGUUCUGGCCUCCAUCUUUCUUGACCUCGACACUUGAUAUUGUGCUAAAUAGGCAGCAAUCGCUACCUUUAAGGUACACAGCCAGAAACGCGCAAGUUGCAGCAGGUCUGCUGCAGAUUUGCUGCAACUUGCGAUCAUCAAGCCGAUAUGAGGAUGCGUUCGCAUCGUUUGCUCCAGCUUGAUAAUAUCAAGUCUACUGCAAGUUGUCAACAGACUUGCUGCAUGCAAGUUGUCGUCCACAGACUACACACGUAAAAAUCUCA